rnacentral:rRNA from 1 species
UACGGAGGGUGCGAGCGUUGUCCGGAAUCACUGGGCGUAAAGGGCGCGUAGGUGGCGCGGGCAGUCAACGGUGAAAGUUCGGGGCUCAACCCUGAAUCGGCCGUCGAUACUCCCGGGCUUGAGCACUCGUAGAGGCAGAUGGAAUUCCGGGUGUAGCGGUGGAAUGCGUAGAGAUCCGGAAGAACACCGGUGGCGAAGGCGGUCUGCUGGGCAGUAGCUGACACUGAGGCGCGAAAGCGUGGGGAGGCAA